rnacentral:rRNA from 1 species
GGUAAACGGCCCACCAAGGCGACGAUGUCUAGGGGCUCUGAGAGGAGAAACCCCCACACUGGUACUGAGACACGGACCAGACUCCUACGGGAGGCAGCAGUAAGGAAUAUUGGUCAAUGGGGGGAACCCUGAACCAGCCAUGCCGCGUGCAGGAAGACGGCCCUACGGGUUGUAAACUGCUUUUGCACGGGAAUAACCCCCGGUAUGUAUACCGGGCUGAAUGUACCGUGAGAAUAAGGAUCGGCUAACUCCGUGCCAGCAGCCGCGGUAAUACGGAGGAUCCGAGCGUUAUCCGGAAUUAUUGGGUUUAAAGGGUGCGUAGGCGGCGCGCUAAGUCAGGGGUGAAAGACGGUGGCUCAACCAUCGCAGUACCUUUGAUACUGGCGCGCUUGAAUGUACCUGAGGUAGGCGGAAUGUGGCAAGUAGCGGUGAAAUGCAUAGAUAUGCCACAGAACACCGAUUGCGAAGGCAGCUUACCAAAGUACGAUUGACGCUGAGGCACGAAAGCGUGGGGAUCGAACAGGAUUAGAUACCCUGGUAGUCCACGCCCUAAACGAUGAACACUCGAUGUCGGCGAUAGACAGUCGGCGUCCAAGCGAAAGCGUUAAGGUCCAC